rnacentral:antisense_RNA from 1 species
CUUUUUGGCGGCUCGAGUGGGGAGCCGCGAGGCUCGCCGGUUCUCGCGAGAGGUGCCCGGUACGCCAACCCGUUCGAGUCGCCGCCUCC